GUUUCCCAUCAGCAUCCUGGUUGCCUUAUAACAUGAUGGAAGGAGACUCUUGUGUCAAGGGAGAAAGAAGAUUCGCAAGUGCCCCUCAGAGGCAGAACCACAUGGGACCAAGUGGAAAAAUUCAAGAAAGCUAGCAAGACCUGUUACUUGUAGGAUGCAUUCAGGAUAGACACAAGUAGCCUAAAAUGCAGCUUGUUCUGAGGGAUCUACAAGAAGAUAGGAGGGCACUUAGCCUGGACAACUGUUAUAUGGAUGUUCCACAUAACAUGAGCAGCAGUAGAAGCUGUGGGGACUGAGGAGGAAGCUAUUCCUUGGAGUUUGAUUGGCAUCAGUGUACUUCUGGGAGGUGAUUCCAGAUCACCAGAGGCUGUUGAAAGGGGACUUCUGAUGAGGUACAUCGUCAGGUCGCUUUGGUGAUGCCACUUCCAUCAACAUCAAUAACUUCUUGUAAUAGACAGAAGGACACAAUCACCACCUGAAAUUUCAGUUUCCCUCUACAACUUUUCUGUUGGGAACCCUGACUUACUCUGUCAGUAGUAGUGUGACUGAGAUUGACUUCAGGCUGUAAAAAAUGCUAACAGAAAAAAAUCAUCCUGCGGUUUACUAUUACUCUUUGAAGUACCAUGGAGGGUGGAGUUUAAGGUGUUCAAGAAAACAAGGCAAACUUUUACAUCAAUUCCGUGACUUUAAGUGUUAUGUAUAAAUAGAUUGUACCCUCCAGAGUUGAUUAGUAAUAGUGACAAGUAUAAACCAAAAGAGCGGAAUUAUAUGUAUAUAAUCCACAAAUCCACCUUUGUUUAUAUUUUCAUCUCUUGUCCCCGACAAUGGUAAAAAUUGUGGAAUACUCUAUUAAUUUAAAACUCUAGUAAUUGUACUUUAUUUAUGGUUGAAAAUUUCAUUAAAUUAGUAUUAAUAGUCAUGUUAAAUCACUACCCAGAGACUCAGCUGAAAAUUUGAUCU